rnacentral:tRNA from 1 species
CAAGAGAUAGUUUAAUAUAAAAAUGCUGGCUUUGGGAACUUGCAAUAGAGGUUUGAGUCCUCUUUUUCUGA